UAGUUGGUGAGGUAAUGGCUCACCAAGACAAUGAUCAAUAGCUGAUCUGAGAGGAUGAUCAGCCACACUGGGACUGAGACACGGCCCAGACUCCUACGGGAGGCAGCAGUGGGGAAUCUUGCACAAUGGAGGAAACUCUGAUGCAGCGAUGCCGCGUGAGUGAAGAAGGCCUUUGGGUUGUAAAGCUCUUUUGUAGGGGAAGAUAAUGACUGUACCCUAAGAAUAAGGUCCGGCUAACUUCGUGCCAGCAGCCGCGGUAAUACGAAGGGACCUAGCGUAGUUCGGAAUUACUGGGCGUAAAGCGCGCGUAGGCCGUUGAGUUAGUUAAUUGUGAAAUCCCAAAGCUUAACUUUGGAACUGCAAUUAAAACUGCUCGACUAGAGUUUGAUAGAGGAAAGCGGAAUACAUAGUGUAGAGGUGAAAUUCGUAGAUAUUAUGUAGAACACCAGUUGCGAAGGCGGCUUUCUGGAUC
rnacentral:rRNA from 1 species